GAAAGACCCUAUGAAGCUUUACUGUAACUUGAAAUUGGUUUUGGGCUUUUUUUGCGCAGAAUAGGUGGGAGGCUUUGAUCCUCUUUUUUGGAAGAAGGUGAGCCAUAAUGUGAGAUACCACUCUGAAGAAGUUAAAAAUCUAAUAGCAUUUUUAUCAAGAUGCUUGAAAGUUUCAGGCGGGCAGUUUUACUGGGGCGGUAGCCUCCUAAAAAGUAACGGAGGCGUACAAAGGUUUUUUCAGUCUGGACGGAAAUUAGUUGUAGAGUGUAAAGACAUAAGAAAGCUUGACUGUAAGACUAAAAAGUCGAGCAGAGACUAGAGUCGGUCUUAGUGAUCCGACGGUACUGU
rnacentral:rRNA from 1 species